UACGUAGGGUGCAAGCGUUAAUCGGAAUUACUGGGCGUAAAGUGUGCGCAGGCGGCAGAGCAAGUCGAGUGUGAAAGCCCCGAGCUUAACUUGGGAAUUGCGCUCGAAACUACUUUGCUGGAGUGUGGCAGAGGAAGGUGGAAUUCCAGGUGUAGCGGUGAAAUGCGUAGAGAUCUGGAGGAACACCGAUGGCGAAGGCAGCCUUCUGGGCCAACACUGACGCUCAUGCACGAAAGCGUGGGUAGCAAACAGG
rnacentral:rRNA from 1 species